ACUACGCUGGUAACAGUGCUUUUUGCCAACCAUAGCCAUGAACUCUUGCCAUCUCUUCGCUGUCAUUUGCCUCUGUGGGAUAUUUAUAUGUUCACAAUGUGACCAAACUGCCCAGGACAGGAUAGAGGUGGAGGGGUCCGGGGAAGUCCUCACCCACACAGGUAAAGUCCCGGUGGUUGAUGAUGAGCUGAUGACGACUCGGGUCCCCGGCACAAACAACAAACAGACGACACGGGACAGCGUCAAGUUCACCAAUGAGGAAGUUCUUACCAAAGAUAAUAAAGUGUCUGGCUCCGAUAACAGCAAAAAGACGGCGUCAACAGAUAUCGUGUUCAUCAUCGCUCCAGCAGUGGUAGGGACUGUUGCCUUACUAGCGGUUGUCAUAGCAAUAGUCCUUCAUUAGGAGAACAAGGAAAACAGGACAAGGUGAUUUUAUGAACCCACAAAUAUUUGAUCGUCAGGCCGAUCUGUGAUAUAAUAUUAAGGAUUAAUACAAGUGGACAUUGAUGUGAUGGUCAAACCUUGCACCCAUUUUCUUCAGAAUUUUCGGUCAUAUUCAUUGCGGGUUUUUUUUUUUUUUUUUACAUGCACCGGACCUUCCUUGUUCCGUUUGUUUUCAUCAUCAAUUGCAUAAUGAAGAUCAAUCAAUCUAUUUAUUUUCGUCAGAUUUUUCACAGAUUAUUUUUUUUUUCUGCUGAUAUCUGAUUUCGUGACUACAUGUAGUUUUUAAACAAAAACAAAAAAUAUAAUGAUUGUUAUAAAGGAGUUGAUGACAAACCGAUGUUUAUUGUAGUUUAGGGUGAAAAGAGAUGAAAAGUGUUCAACCCCCACCCACCCUCACCCGACAUUGGCGUUUUGAGAAAACAUCCGCUUAUAAUACUCUCCGUUUAGAGUUAAGAGGUUGUUGUUAUUUUUGUAUUUGAACCAAAUGUUUAAUAUGAAUUGAUUGGAAAUAAAAACUUUAUUUC
rnacentral:misc_RNA from 1 species